UCCUACGGGAGGCAGCAGUGGGGAAUAUUGCACAAUGGGGGGAACCCUGAUGCAGCGACGCCGCGUGGGCGAUGGAGUGCUUCGGCAUGUAAAGCCCUAUCAGCAGGGAAGAAAAUGACGGUACCUGACUAAGAAGCCCCGGCUAAAUACGUGCCAGCAGCCGCGGUAAUACGUAUGGGGCAAGCGUUAUCCGGAUUUACUGGGUGUAAAGGGAGCGUAGACGGCAGCGCAAGUCUGGAGUGAAAUCCCAUGGCUUAACCAUGGAACUGCUUUGGAAACUGUGCAGCUGGAGUGCAGGGGAGGGA
rnacentral:rRNA from 1 species